rnacentral:rRNA from 1 species
UACGAAGGGGGCGAGCGUUGUUCGGAUUUACUGGGCGUAAAGGGCGCGUAGGCGGCGGGUCAAGUCGAGUGUGAAAGCCCCGGGCUCAACCUGGGAGGUGCGCUCGAGACUGGUCUGCUAGAGUUCGGGAGAGGAGCGUGGAAUUCCCAGUGUAGAGGUGAAAUUCGUAGAUAUUGGGAAGAACACCGGUGGCGAAGGCGGCGCUCUGGACCGAGACUGACGCUGAGACGCGAAAGCGUGGGGAGCGAACAGG